UUGCCUACAAAUGUUAGAGAGAAAUUAACUCAACAUCAGGUGUGAACUGUAUGAAUAUUUUACAUAAAUCAUCUGAAAAAGACUGUUGUCUGUAAGAGGGCUUUUAAAAGAGAUCACUGAAGUUGAUAUGAGGAACCUGUGCCUUUGAAGAUGUUUCAUUCCAAGUAGACAAACAACAGUUAUUACUACUUCAGUUAUUUUUGCUGAAGUAAGCAUCCAGGCCUCUGGAUUUAGUGCUCUGUUGAAGGCCAAUGGAAACAGAGAUGAUUUGCCAGCCCGAUGCCUUUUCACCCUUUCAUCUCACAAAGUGUAUUUUCUGAAUUAGGUAAAUUGCUGAAACUUCUCUCAUGUUUGAAGAAACUGGUAUUUGUUAUCAAUGAGGAAAAUGAGAACAGGUCAUGAUGUUCAACAUCUCCCUGUCACUGAAAAACAAGCUUCUGGAACUUGGACUAAGAGAUGUUUGUCAUGAAACAAAAAUUACUACUUUGGCUUACUGGAAAUAAUUCUGGAUCAAGACAAGGAUUUAUGCAGAAUAAAAGCCACAAAAGAAAGGAAGAACCUGCUUGUAUCUUCUCCUCACACACCUGCUAAGAAAGCAAAUCCUGCUUUAGUCAUUGAUGCCACUUGGGCAUUUUGCCGUAGUUGCACAGGAGUGUCUAGUGGAGCCUUCCACUUAAAUGACUGUUCUACUUUUCCUUUGGAACCAAAGAACCACAGAAAUUAAUGGGAACACACAGUGGAAGCAAGAGGUAUUCCAGACCUACUAACAAAAGCAGCAUAAUGAAAACUGAAGACCUUGAAUAACAAUAAAAUAAUCGAGUUGGUAAAAACCCAACUGAUGGAGCUCUCAUGUGGAACAUAUUG